UACGGAGGGGGCUAGCGUUGUCCGGAAUUAUUGGGCGUAAAGAGCUCGUAGGCGGUCUGUCGCGUCGGCUGUGAAAACCCGGAGCUCAACUCCGGGCCUGCAGUCGAUACGGGCAGACUGGAGUUCGGCAGGGGAGACUGGAAUUCCUGGUGUAGCGGUGAAAUGCGUAGAGAUCAGGAAGAACACCCGUGGCGAAGGCGGCCCACUGGGCCGGUACUGACGCUGAGGCGCGAAGGCGUGGGGAGCGAACGGG
rnacentral:rRNA from 1 species